GACGAACGCUGGCGGCGUGCCUAAUACAUGCAAGUAGAACGCUGAAGAGAGGAGCUUGCUCUUCUUGGAUGAGUUGCGAACGGGUGAGUAACGCGUAGGUAACCUGCCUUGUAGCGGGGGAUAACUAUUGGAAACGAUAGCUAAUACCGCAUAACAAUGGAUGACACAUGUCAUUUAUUUGAAAGGGGCAAUUGCUCCACUACAAGAUGGACCUGCGUUGUAUUAGCUAGUAGGUGAGGUAAUGGCCCACCUAGGCGACGAUACAUAGCCGACCUGAGAGGGUGAUCGGCCACACUGGGACUGGGACAAGGCCCAGACUCCUACGGGAGGCAGCAGUAGGGAAUCUUCGGCAAUGGGGGCAACCCUGACCGAGCAACGCCGCGUGAGUGAAGAAGGGUUUCGGAUCGUAAAGCUCUGUUGUAAGUCAAGAACGGGUGUGAGAGUGGAAAGUUCACACUGUGACGGUAGCUUACCAGAAAGGGACGGCUAACUACGUG
rnacentral:rRNA from 1 species